AGGUGCGAUCAUACCAGCAUUCGUGCACCAGAUCCUAUCAGAACACUACAGUGAAGCGUACUCGAGCGAGAGUAGUACUAGAAUGGGUGACCUCCUAGGAAGUCCUCACGUUGUACAUC
rfam:Lupinus angustifolius cultivar Tanjil contig_1837, whole genome shotgun sequence.